AAUCCAUAGGUUAAUGAGGCGAACCGGGGGAACUGAAACAUCUAAGUACCCCGAGGAAAAGAAAUCAACCGAGAUUCCCCCAGUAGCGGCGAGCGAACGGGGAGGAGCCCAGAGCCUGAAUCAGCAUGUGUGUUAGUGGAAGCGUCUGGAAAGGCGCGCGAUACAGGGUGACAGCCCCGUACACAAAAGCGCAUGUGCUGUGAGCUCGAUGAGUAGGGCGGGACACGUGGUAUCCUGUCUGAAUAUGGGGGGACCAUCCUCCAAGGCUAAAUACUCCUGACUGACCGAUAGUGAACCAGUACCGUGAGGGAAAGGCGAAAAGAACCCCGGCGAGGGGAGUGAAAAAGAACCUGAAACCGUGUACGUACAAGCAGUGGGAGCCCCACCACCAAAGCAUUUGCUGUACCGCGUUGA
rnacentral:rRNA from 1 species